rnacentral:lncRNA from 1 species
UUAUCGAUAUCGAUAUUAUCCCGAUAUUUCCAUCGAUAUUUCCGUGUUUUCGGACUACCGAUAUUUCCGAUAUUUUCUUCCUUGGUUUUGUUCGACUUGGUAAACAAAUAUAAUCAACCAAAUAGAAAUAGAUUAUUAAAAUCUUUCAAGUUGUUUGAAUAUUGCUACUUAAUAUUAUGGUCUAAUAGUAUUUAUUAAUAUUUCUUUUUACUUAUAAGUAGAGGUGUUAGAUUUCAAUCUCUUGAUAAUUACCCCAACACCAAUUUAUUAAUUCCUGUAAAAUUGGUUGAAUUAUAUUGUUUUUUUUUUCCUUAAGUGAAACGGUGGGGACACUGUUUUGGGGAGUGAUUUCAGCGUUAGUUAACGCGCUUAUUUUCUAUUAGUGACACAUCAUUUUGUUUGCAAAUUUGGUUUAAAAUUUUGGUUUUCCUAACAUUACCCAUAUGGAUAAUGCUAGGGAGGCUAAUUUUUUUAAACCAAAUUUGCAAACCAAAUGAUAUGGUUGUUGGAUCAUUACUUUAUCGUUGAUUAGUGUAUUUAUUUCCUAUUAGUGACACAUAUUGGUUUGCAAAUUUGGUUUAAAAUUUUAGUUUCCCUAGCACUACCCAUAUGGAUAAUACUAGGUAGACCAAAUUUUUUAAACCACAUUUGCAAACCAAAUUAUAUGGUUAUUGAUGUUUGGAUCAUUACUUCAAUGUUGAUUAACGUGCUUAUUUUCUAUUAGUGACACAUCAUUUGGUUUAAAAAUUUUGGUUUCCCUAGCAUUAUCCAAUUGGAUAAUGCUAGGAAGACCAAAUUUUUAAACCAAAUAAUAUGGUUGUUGAUGAUUAGAUCAUUACUUCAGCAUUGAUUAAAGUGCUUAUUUCUUAUUAGUAACACAUCAUUUAGUUUGCAGAUUUAAUUUAAAAUUUUGGUUUUCUUAGUAUUACCCUUUCAAUAUCCCAAAUAGAUAUAACUUGGUAGUUAAAUCCAAAGUCAACUCCCUGAAGCCAAACUCAUUUAAUUUAUUUUAUUGCAAUCAAAGUAAACUUAUUUUCUACACAUUAACUUCUUAGUAAUAAAAGAAACCCCACGAGCUUCUACAUCUAUUAUUUUAGCAUUUACACCAUGAAUUAACUCAUUGACUGAUUUGGGUGGUAACAUAAGCCGUAUUAUUUGGUAGUAAAACUACAGUUUUUUCAAGAUAUAAAACAGUAUUGUCCAAUGUACUAAUCAUAACAGCUGAUGGAAAAACCGAAAAUGGGAACUUUUUGUGGCAAUGGACAUGACGAAUGUAUCUAUUUUUAUCUUUGGCACCUUUCUGUAUAGCAAUUGGGUAAACUAAAGAUGAGGAAUAGGCUUAUAAUAGCCUUGGAUAUUAACUUGUAAACCUAACUGGACCGACCUUGAAUUCCAACUCACAUAUUCACUCGAGUUUCUCCUUAACUAUAAGAUGAGAAAUAACUAGAUCUGACAUUCGUGUCGUGUUUUCUGUGUUCAUAUUGCUUUCGUGUCAUACUCGAUAUUUUAACAGGUCGUAUCGUGUAAGACCCGUUAAAAUAAAUGGAUAUAUGACCCGACCAGAAAUUGACUAGUUAAUAUUAAUAGGUAAUAUGACUUGGCCCGUUACCUGUUAAAGAAAAUAUAUUUUAAGCCAAUAAAUAAUCAAAUGAAAAAUAUUAUACUAAAUAGUAUACACAUACCACAUUGUCACAUAAAUAUUACUUCAACAUAAAAACACAUUUGUCUUUCAAGUAUCACAUAAAAACAGAAAAAUAGUGAAAUAAAUUAUAUAAACGCUCGUACUAAUUAACAAGCUUUACAACUUUCGUGAAUGGCUCAAAUUUGAAAUUUGCCACUAUAAUCACAUAAACUAUAGAUUGAAAUUUGCAAGAAGCUUAUUUGCUUAACUAAAUCCAUUGGCCAAUAAAGAAUCAUGCUUACAGAUUCAUUAAAGUUUGUUGGUACCAUAUACUGGGCCUCGUCUUUGGGUCUCAUCCCUAAGCUCAUGACAAAUGUAAAAGGGGAGGGAGCCCUUAUUCUAUAAAAGGGACUCUCCCUCACCCUCAUAAAGGAGGACUCACCUUCACUAAGAGUUCCAGAGAGUCUCAGAGCCAUACCUUCAGAGGAAACGGUUUCACACUCAAUCCUCACAACAAUAGAGGGCAGUACCCUCUCAGCCAAACAGAGAGUAAAAUGGCAAGGGCUGUAUCCACAGAGAGCUCCCUUGCCGAUCUAUUGUAAUCCAUACAUACAUACACAAUCAGCAUCAAUGUGGACGUAGCCCAAACAUUAGGGUGAACCACGAUACAUCUUUGUGUUCUUGUGCGUUUGUGUGAUUCACUGUCGGAUUUACGUUGGUCCAAGAUCCUCAGGAUUUUGUGCAUUAACAUUUGGUGUCAUCUGUGGGAAUCGACACGAAAAACUAUAUCGGUUCUCUUUCAUUUUUU